rnacentral:rRNA from 1 species
GACGAACGCUGGCGGCGUGCUUAACACAUGCAAGUCGAACGGAAAGGCGCUGCUUUUGUGGGGUGCUCGAGUGGCGAACGGGUGAGUAACACGUGAGUAACCUGCCCUUGACUUUGGGAUAACUUCAGGAAACUGGGGCUAAUACCGGAUAGGAGCUACUGCUGCAUGGUGGGGGUUGGAAAGUUUCGGCGGUUGGGGAUGGACUCGCGGCUUAUCAGCUUGUUGGUGGGGUAGUGGCUUACCAAGGCUUUGACGGGUAGCCGGCCUGAGAGGGUGACCGGCCACAUUGGGACUGAGAUACGGCCCAGACUCCUACGGGAGGCAGCAGUGGGGAAUAUUGCACAAUGGGCGGAAGCCUGAUGCAGCAACGCCGCGUGCGGGAUGACGGCCUUCGGGUUGUAAACCGCUUUCGCCUGUGACGAAGCGUGAGUGACGGUAAUGGGUAAAGAAGCACCGGCUAACUACGUG